UACGUAGGGGGCAAGCGUUGUCCGGAAUCAUUGGGCGUAAAGAGCGUGUAGGCGGCCAGAUAAGUCCGCUGUGAAAUCUCGAGGCUCAACUUCGAGCUGUCGGUGGAAACUGUCUGGCUAGAGUCCGGAAGAGGAGAAUGGAAUUCCUGGUGUAGCGGUGAAAUGCGCAGAUAUCAGGAAGAACACCCGUGGCGAAAGCGGCGCGCUGGACCACUACUGACGCUGAGGAACGAAAGCUAGGGGAGCAAACAGG
rnacentral:rRNA from 1 species